AUGUGGGAAUCAAAAUGGGAUUGGCAGGUUACAAUGAUCCGGCAGAACUGCUUUUCGGUGGUUUACCCGUCAAAGCAAUCUCUGAGAAUGGAGCAAAAGAGUGGCACAAUUACUCUACGGAUUAGUGGGCACAAAGCCGAGGUGGGGGAGCCAUUUACUAAACCAUAUGAUGUCUCGUGGCUACAAGAAUGCUGGGUUAGGAUCUCGGGCAUACCCAAUCGGCUUCGUCAAGUCCCGCUCGUCAAGGAGUUCCUCUGGGUCGUUGGCAAGGCGGUGGUGGUGGAUGAAUUGACAAUUGUGUGA
rnacentral:rRNA from 1 species